rnacentral:rRNA from 1 species
UGGGGAAUCUUGCACAAUGGGGGAAACCCUGAUGCAGCGACGCCGCGUGAGCGAUGAAGCCCUUCGGGGUGUAAAGCUCUUUCGGCAGGAACGAUAAUGACGGUACCUGAAGAAGAAGCUGCGGCUAACUACGUGCCAGCAGCCGCGGUAAUACGUAGGCAGCAAGCGUUGUUCGGAGUUACUGGGCGUAAAGAGUGUGUAGGCGGUUUCGUAAGUUUGGUGUGAAAUCUCCCGGCUUAACUGGGAGGGUGCGCCGAAUACUGCGAGGCUCGAGUGCCGGAGAGGUAAGCGGAAUUCCUGGUGUAGCGGUGAAAUGCGUAGAUAUCAGGAGGAACACCGGUGGUGUAGACGGCUUACUGGACGGCCACUGACGCUGAGACACGAAAGCGUGGGUAGCAAACAGG